rnacentral:other from 1 species
AUCAUCCUAUAGGUGUGUUCAUAAAUCCGAACUAAGCGAGUUAUAGGGAAUUUAAAGUAUAGUCGGUGUUGAAUACUCACAUUUAUGUGAGGAUCCUAAUGAUUAUAUGGGGAUGCCCACCUGGAAGAAUUUUCAGGGUUUAUCGCAAACGCACAUUAUGGGGUGUUU